UUAAGCGACUAAGCGUACACGGUGGAUGCCCUGGCAGUCAGAGGCGAUGAAGGACGUGCUAAUCUGCGAUAAGCGUCGGUAAGGUGAUAUGAACCGUUAUAACCGGCGAUUUCCGAAUGGGGAAACCCAGUGUGUUUCGACACACUAUCAUUAACUGAAUCCAUAGGUUAAUGAGGCGAACCGGGGGAACUGAAACAUCUAAGUACCCCGAGGAAAAGAAAUCAACCGAGAUUCCCCCAGUAGCGGCGAGCGAACGGGGAGCAGCCCAGAGCCUGAAUCAGUGUGUGUGUUAGUGGAAGCGUCUGGAAAGGCGCGCGAUACAGGGUGACAGCCCCGUACACAAAAAUGCACAUGCUGUGAGCUCGAUGAGUAGGGCGGGACACGUGGUAUCCUGUCUGAAUAUGGGGGGACCAUCCUCCAAGGCUAAAUACUCCUGACUGACCGAUAGUGAACCAGUACCGUGAGGGAAAGGCGAAAAGAACCCCGGCGAGGGGAGUGAAAAAGAACCUGAAACCGUGUACGUACAAGCAGUGGGAGCCUCUUAAUGGGGUGACUGCGUACCUUUUGUAUAAUGGGUCAGCGACUUAUAUUCUGUAGCAAGGUUAACCGAAUAGGGGAGCCGAAGGGAAACCGAGUCUUAACUGGGCGUUAAGUUGCAGGGUAUAGACCCGAAACCCGGUGAUCUAGCCAUGGGCAGGUUGAAGGUUGGGUAACACUAACUGGAGGACCGAACCGACUAAUGUUGAAAAAUUAGCGGAUGACUUGUGGCUGGGGGUGAAAGGCCAAUCAAACCGGGAGAUAGCUGGUUCUCCCCGAAAGCUAUUUAGGUAGCGCCUCGUGAAUUCAUCUCCGGGGGUAGAGCACUGUUUCGGCAAGGGGGUCAUCCCGACUUACCAACCCGAUGCAAACUGCGAAUACCGGAGAAUGUUAUCACGGGAGACACACGGCGGGUGCUAACGUCCGUCGUGAAGAGGGAAACAACCCAGACCGCCAGCUAAGGUCCCAAAGUCAUGGUUAAGUGGGAAACGAUGUGGGAAGGCCCAGACAGCCAGGAUGUUGGCUUAGAAGCAGCCAUCAUUUAAAGAAAGCGUAAUAGCUCACUGGUCGAGUCGGCCUGCGCGGAAGAUGUAACGGGGCUAAACCAUGCACCGAAGCUGCGGCAGCGACACUAUGUUGUUGGGUAGGGGAGCGUUCUGUAAGCCUGUGAAGGUGUACUGUGAGGUAUGCUGGAGGUAUCAGAAGUGCGAAUGCUGACAUAAGUAACGAUAAAGCGGGUGAAAAGCCCGCUCGCCGGAAGACCAAGGGUUCCUGUCCAACGUUAAUCGGGGCAGGGUGAGUCGACCCCUAAGGCGAGGCCGAAAGGCGUAGUCGAUGGGAAACAGGUUAAUAUUCCUGUACUUGGUGUUACUGCGAAGGGGGGACGGAGAAGGCUAUGUUGGCCGGGCGACGGUUGUCCCGGUUUAAGCGUGUAGGCUGGUUUUCCAGGCAAAUCCGGAAAAUCAAGGCUGAGGCGUGAUGACGAGGCACUACGGUGCUGAAGCAACAAAUGCCCUGCUUCCAGGAAAAGCCUCUAAGCAUCAGGUAACAUCAAAUCGUACCCCAAACCGACACAGGUGGUCAGGUAGAGAAUACCAAGGCGCUUGAGAGAACUCGGGUGAAGGAACUAGGCAAAAUGGUGCCGUAACUUCGGGAGAAGGCACGCUGAUAUGUAGGUGAAGUCCCUCGCGGAUGGAGCUGAAAUCAGUCGAAGAUACCAGCUGGCUGCAACUGUUUAUUAAAAACACAGCACUGUGCAAACACGAAAGUGGACGUAUACGGUGUGACGCCUGCCCGGUGCCGGAAGGUUAAUUGAUGGGGUUAGCGGUAACGCGAAGCUCUUGAUCGAAGCCCCGGUAAACGGCGGCCGUAACUAUAACGGUCCUAAGGUAGCGAAAUUCCUUGUCGGGUAAGUUCCGACCUGCACGAAUGGCGUAAUGAUGGCCAGGCUGUCUCCACCCGAGACUCAGUGAAAUUGAACUCGCUGUGAAGAUGCAGUGUACCCGCGGCAAGACGGAAAGACCCCGUGAACCUUUACUAUAGCUUGACACUGAACAUUGAGCCUUGAUGUGUAGGAUAGGUGGGAGGCUUUGAAGUGUGGACGCCAGUCUGCAUGGAGCCGGCCUUGAAAUACCACCCUUUAAUGUUUGAUGUUCUAACGUUGGCCCCUGAUCGGGGUUGCGGACAGUGUCUGGUGGGUAGUUUGACUGGGGCGGUCUCCUCCUAAAGAGUAACGGAGGAGCACGAAGGUUGGCUAAUCCUGGUCGGACAUCAGGAGGUUAGUGCAAUGGCAUAAGCCAGCUUGACUGCGAGCGUGACGGCGCGAGCAGGUGCGAAAGCAGGUCAUAGUGAUCCGGUGGUUCUGAAUGGAAGGGCCAUCGCUCAACGGAUAAAAGGUACUCCGGGGAUAACAGGCUGAUACCGCCCAAGAGUUCAUAUCGACGGCGGUGUUUGGCACCUCGAUGUCGGCUCAUCACAUCCUGGGGCUGAAGUAGGUCCCAAGGGUAUGGCUGUUCGCCAUUUAAAGUGGUACGCGAGCUGGGUUUAGAACGUCGUGAGACAGUUCGGUCCCUAUCUGCCGUGGGCGCUGGAGAACUGAGGGGGGCUGCUCCUAGUACGAGAGGACCGGAGUGGACGCAUCACUGGUGUUCGGGUUGUCAUGCCAAUGGCACUGCCCGGUAGCUAAAUGCGGAAGAGAUAAGUGCUGAAAGCAUCUAAGCACGAAACUUGCCCCGAGAUGAGUUCUCCCUGACUCCUUGAGAGUCCUGAAGGAACGUUGAAGACGACGACGUUGAUAGGCCGGGUGUGUAAGCGCAGCGAUGCGUUGAGCUAACCGGUACUAAUGAACCGUGAGGCUUAACCU
rnacentral:rRNA from 1 species